CCCUGCAAAUAUAGAAUAUUUGGUUUUGAUCCUUGGUAUUUUGUUUUAAUCCUUGUAAAAUCAUUUCAUAUUGAAAUUGGUCCCUAUAAUAUUCAUUUUAGUCCUCAUUUUGAGGGACUAAAAUCAAAUAUUCUACAUAUUACAAUGACCAAAUCCAAUAUGAAUCAAUUUUACAAGGACUAAAACAAAAUACCAAGGACCAAAACCAAAUUUUUUAUAUUUGCAGUGA
rnacentral:pre_miRNA from 1 species